AAUAAUAGAAAGAAAAGAAAGAAAAGAAAAAGGAGGACAAAAGAAAGUCAUCUCUUCUUAUGCAUGUACAACUUGCUUGCUUGUCU
rnacentral:ribozyme from 1 species